UAAGCCGGUUUGUCGCUUGACCUUUCGGGGUUAAGAGGAAAGUCCGGGCAACGCAGAGCAUCGUAUUUCCUAACGGGAAGCUAUCCGUGAGGGUAGAGUUAAGGUAACAGAAAAUAACCGCCUUGCUUGCGGGUGAGGUAAGGGUGAAAAGGUGAGGUAAAAGCUCACCGGUCUGUACAGCAAUGUAUGGAGCCGUACUACUUGCGAGUUGCAAGACCAUGUACACCGGCGUAUGUAGGGCUGCUCGUCCGAUGUCGGGGGGUAGGUCGCUCGAGCUUAUCGGUGACGGUAAGCCUAGAUAAAUGACAGACGCCUCAUUUAUUGAGGUACAGAACCCGGCUUACAGGCUUACUGU
rnacentral:RNase_P_RNA from 1 species